CUGGAUAAAUGAUGAAUGAACUAAAAUCACCAUCUUUCGGCUGAAUUGUGAUGUACAUGUUCUUGUCUGACAUCUCCA
rnacentral:snoRNA from 1 species